UACGUAGGUGGCAAGCGUUGUCCGGAUUUACUGGGCGUAAAGAGCGCGCAGGCGGUCGUUCAAGUCGCGUGUGAAAGCCCCCGGCUCAACUGGGGAGGGUCACGCGAUACUGAUCGACUCGAAGGCAGGAGAGGGUAGUGGAAUUCCCGGUGUAGUGGUGAAAUGCGUAGAUAUUCGGCGGAACACCAGUGGCGAAGGCGACUCACUGGCCCGAUACUGACGCUGAGGCGCGAAAGCGUGGGGAGCAAACAGGG
rnacentral:rRNA from 1 species